GAUGAACGCUGGCGGCGUGCCUAAUACAUGCAAGUCGAGCGAAUGGAUUAAGAGCUUGCUCUUAUGAAGUUAGCGGCGGACGGGUGAGUAACACGUGAGUAACCUGCCCAUAAGACUGGGAUAACUCCGGGAAACCGGGGCUAAUACCGGAUAACAUUUUGAACCGCGUGGUUCGAAAUUGAAAGGCGGCUUCGGCUGUCACUUAUGAAUGGACCCGCGUCGCAUUAGCUAGUUGGUGAGGUAACGGCUCACCAAGGCAACGAUGCGUAGCCGACCUGAGAGGGUGAUCGGCCACACUGGGACUGAGACACGGCCCAGACUCCUACGGGAGGCAGCAGUAGGGAAUCUUCCGCAAUGGACGAAAGUCUGACGGAGCAACGCCGCGUGAGUGAUGAAGGCUUUCGGGUCGUAAAACUCUGUUGUUAGGGAAGAACAAGUGCUAGUUGAAUAAGCUGGCACCUUGACGGUACCUAACCAGAAAGCCACGGCUAACUACGUGCCAGCCGCCGCCGUAA
rnacentral:rRNA from 1 species